UGAUAAUCCCUGUGCCUGUGUCUGAAGCACUCACUCACACAUCCGUGUGCCUGACCUAGGCAGUGCAAGCAGCACACCGUCCGCGGCGUCUUUUUUUGGGAGGACGGCCAUUGCAGCUCUGAUUAGCGGCACUACGACUCGUUGUAUACUCGUUUAUAUUCCGACUUUGUGAAGUCUCACAAUCGGAAUAUUUCAAUUCCUGAUGGCCAUUGUUUUCCACGUGGAGCCAUGAUGCACACACGCAGAUAGACAGACUCUCUCUCUCUCCCCCUCUCUCUACCUCCCUCUCCCUCCUUAUCUCUCUCCCUCCCUCCCUCUCUCUCCCUCCUUAUCUCACUCUCUCUCUCUCUCUUUCUGUCACUCUGUUACUUCCUCUCUAUCUCUCUUUCUGUCACUCUCCCUCCCUCUCUCUCUCCCUCUCUCUCUCUCUAUCUCUCUUUCUGUCACUCUGUUCCUCCCUCUCUCUCUCCCUCUCUCUCCCUCCCUCUCUCUCUCUCUCUCUCUCUUUCUGUCACUCUGUUACUUCCUCUCUAUCUCUCUUUCUGUCACUCUCCCUCCCUCUCUCUCUCCCUCUCUCUCUCUCUAUCUCUCUUUCUGUCACUCUGUUCCUCCCUCUCUCUCUCCCUCUCUCUCUCCCCCUCUCUCUACCUCCCUCUCCCUCCUUAUCUCUCUUUCUCCCUCUCCCUCUCUCUCUCUCUAUCUCUCUUUCUGUCACUCUGUUCCUCUCUCUCUGUCUCUAUUUCUGUCACUCUGUUCCUCCCUCUCUCUCUCUCUCUCUCUCUCUCUCUUUCUGUCACUCUGUUCUUCCCUCUCUAUCUCUCUUUAUGUCACUCUACCUCCCUCUCUCUCUCUUCCUCUCUCUGUCUCUCUUUCUGUCAUUCUACCUCCCUCUCUCUCUUCCUCUCUCUAUCUCUCUUUCUGUCACUCUGUUCCUCCCUCUCUCUCUCUCUCUCUCUCUGUCUCUCUGUCACUCUCUGUUCCUCUCUCUCUCUUUCUGUCACUCUACCUCCCUCUCUCUCUCUAUCUCUCUUUCUGUCACUCUGUUCCUCCCUCUCUCUCUCCCUCUCUCCCUCCCUCUCUCUCCCUAUCUCUCUUUCUGUCACUCUGUUCCUCUCUCUCUGUCUCUCUUUCUGUCAUUCUGUUCCUCCCUCCCUCUCUCUCCCUCUCU
rnacentral:lncRNA from 1 species